rnacentral:rRNA from 1 species
AUACGUAGGUGGCAAGCGUUGUCCGGAAUUAUUGGGCGUAAAGGAUGCGUAGGCGGCCUUUUAAGUGGGAUGUGAAAUACCCGGGCUUAACCCGGGAAUGGCAUUCCAAACUGGAAGGCUAGAGUGCAGGAGAGGAAAGUGGAAUUCCCAGUGUAGCGGUGAAAUGCGUAGAGAUUGGGAGGAACACCAGUGGCGAAGGCGACUUUCUGGACUGUAACUGACGCUGAGGCAUGAAAGCGUGGGGAGCAAACAGGAUUAGAUACCCUGGUAGUCCACGCCGUAAACGAUGAGUACUAGGUGUAGGGGAGCCAUUCUCUGUGCCGCAGUUAACACAUUAAGUACUCCGCCUGGGAAGUACGGUCGCAAGACUAAAACUCAAAGGAAUUGACGGGG